rnacentral:rRNA from 1 species
UUUGAGCUAUACACGACCGUACCGCAAACCGACACUGGUGCGCGAGAUGAGUAUUCUAAGGCGCUUGAGAGAACUCAGGAGAAGGAACUCGGCAAAUUGACACCGUAACUUCGGAAGAAGGUGUGCCCUAUUAGUGUGAAGUGAACAACGGAGCAUGAAUGGGUUGCAAAAAAUCGGUGGCUGCGACUGUUUAUUAAAAACACAGCACUCUGCAAACACGAAAGUGGACGUAUAGGGUGUGACGCCUGCCCGGUGCUGGAAGAUUAAAUGAUGGGGUGCAAGCUCUUGAUUGAAGUCCCAGUAAACGGCGGCCGUAACUAUAACGGUCCUAAGGUAGCGAAAUUCCUUGUCGGGUAAGUUCCGACCUGCACGAAUGGCGUAACGAUGGCCACACUGUCUCCUCCUGAGACUCAGCGAAGUUGAAAUGUUUGUGAUGAUGCAAUCUCCCCGCGGAAAGACGGAAAGACCCCAUGAACCUUUACUGUAGCUUUGUAUUGGACUUUGAACAGAUCUGUGUAGGAUAGGUGGGAGGCUUUGAAGCAGGGUCGCUAGAUCUUGUGGAGCCAACGUUGAAAUACCACCCUGGUGUGUUUGAGGUUCUAACCUAGGUCUAUUAUCUGGAUCGGGGACAGUGCAUAGUAGGCUUUGACUGGGGCGGUCUCCUCCCAGAGCGUAACGGGGGAGUUCGAAGGUACGCUAGUUACGGUCGGACAUCGUGACGAUAGUGCAAUGGCAUAAGCGUGCUUAACUGCGAGACUGACAAGUCGAGCAGAUGCGAAAGCAGGACAUAGUGAUCCGGUGGUUCUGUAUGGAAGGGCCAUCGCUCAACGGAUAAAAGGUACUCUGGGGAUAACAGGCUGAUACCGCCCAAGAGUUCAUAUCGACGGCGGUGUUUGGCACCUCGAUGUCGGCUCAUCUCAUCCUGGGGCUGUAGCCGGUCCCAAGGGUAUGGCUGUUCGCCAUUUAAAGAGGUACGUGAGCUGGGUUUAAAACGUCGUGAGACAGUUUGGUCCCUAUCUUCCGUGGGCGCUGCAGAUUUGAGGAAGCCUGCUCCUAGUACGAGAGGACCGGAGUGGACACACCUCUGGUGUAUCGGUUGUCACGCCAGUGGCAUUGCCGAGUAGCUAAGUGUGGAAGAGAUAACCGCUGAAAGCAUCUAAGCGGGAAACUCGUUUCAAGAUGAGAUCUGCCGGGGCCUUGAGCCCCCUGAAGAGUCGUUCAAGACCAGGACGUUGAUAGGUCAGGUGUGGAAGCGCAGUAGUGCGUUAAGCUAACUGAUACUAAUUGCUCGUGCGGCUUGACCA